rnacentral:rRNA from 1 species
GAUCAUGGCUCAGGAUGAACGCUGGCGGCGUGCUUAACACAUGCAAGUCGAACGGGAAACUUUUUAUUGAAGCUUCGGUAGAUUUAGAUUGUUUCUAGUGGCGGACGGGUGAGUAACGCGUGGGUAACCUGCCUUAUACAGGGGGAUAACAGUCAGAAAUGACUGCUAAUACCGCAUAAGCGCACGGAACCGCAUGGUUCAGUGUGAAAAACUCCGGUGGUAUAAGAUGGACCCGCGUUGGAUUAGCUGG